GUCCUAGCCGUAAACGAUGGACACUAGGUGUUGGUGGUAUCAACCCCACCAGUGCCGAAGCUAACGCAUUAAGUGUCCCGCCUGGGGAGUACGGCCGCAAGGCUAAAACUCAAAGGAAUUGACGGGGCCCCGCACAAGCAGCGGAGCGUGGGGUUUAAUUCGAUGCAACGCGAAGAACCUUACCAGGGCUUGACAUGACCAGGAAUCCGGCGGAAACGUCGGCGCCCCGCAAGGGGGCCUGGCCACAGGUGUUGCAUGGCUGUCGU
rnacentral:rRNA from 1 species